AGUUCAGAUUGCAGGCUGNAACCCGCCUGCAUGAAGUCGGAAUUGCUAGUAAUCGCGGAUCAGCAUGCCGCGGUGAAUACGUUCCCGGGGCCUUGUACACACCGCCCGUCACACCAUGGGAGCCGGUAAUACCCGAAGUCAGUAGUCCAACCUCGUGAGGACGCUGCCGAAGGUAGGAUUGGCGACUGGGGUGAAGUCGUAACAAGGUACC
rnacentral:rRNA from 1 species